CACGUAGGCUGCUUUGUAAGUCAGGGGUGAAAUCCCACGGCUCAACCGUGGAACUGCCUUUGAUACUGCUUAGCUUGAAUCCGGGAGAGGGUAGUGGAAUUCCCAGUGUAGCGGUGAAAUGCGUAGAUAUUCGGAGGAACACCAGUGGCGAAGGCGGCUUGCUGGGCUCUAACUGACGCUGAGGCUCGAAAGUGUGGGGAGCAAACA
rnacentral:rRNA from 1 species